ACUUGAUUAGUUUGUUGGUGGGGUAAAAGCCUACCAAGACUGUGAUCAAUAGCUGAUUUGAGAGGAUGAUCAGCCACAUUGGGACUGAGACACGGCCCAAACUCCUACGGGAGGCAGCAGUGGGGAAUCUUGCACAAUGGAGGAAACUCUGAUGCAGCGAUGCCGCGUGAGUGAAGAAGGCCCUUGGGUUGUAAAGCUCUUUCGUCGGGGAAGAAAAUGACUGUACCCGAAUAAGAAGGUCCGGCUAACUUCGUGCCAGCAGCCGCGGUAAUACGAAGGGACCUAGCGUAGUUCGGAAUUACUGGGCUUAAAGAGUUCGUAGGUGGUUGAAAAAGUUGGUGGUGAAAUCCCAGAGCUUAACUCUGGAACUGCCAUCAAAACUUUUCAGCUAGAGUUUGAUAGAGGAAAGCAGAAUUUCUAGUGUAGAGGUGAAAUUCGUAGAUAUUAGAAAGAAUACCAAUUGCGAAGGCAGCUUUCUGGAUCAUUACUGACACUGAGGAACGAAAGCAUGGGUAGCGAAGAGGAUUAGAUACCCUCGUAGUCCAUGCCGUAAACGAUGUGUGUUAGACGUUGGAAAUUUAUUUUCAGUGUCGCAGCGAAAGCGAUAAACACACCGCCUGGGGAGUACGACCGCAAGGUUAAAACUCAAAUGAAUUGACGGGGACCCGCACAAGUAGUGGAGCAUGUGGUUUAAUUCGAAGAUACGCGCAGAACCUUACCAACACUUGACAUGUUCGUCGCGACUUUAAGAGAUUAAAGUUUUCGGUUCGGCCGGACGAAACACAGGUGCUGCAUGGCUGUCGUCAGCUCGUGUCGUGAGAUGUUGGGUUAAGUCCCGCAACGAGCGCAACCCUCA
rnacentral:rRNA from 1 species